AGAGCCCAGAGAAGCGGCGCGCGGCCAGGAGCCCCCGCUCCGCCACUGCCGUGCCUGCCUCCCGCAGCUGUCUGCCAUGCGCUCGCCGGGGCAGGGGCGCCCGGAGGGCGGCUAGAGCUGGGCCUGAGCCCGGGAACGCGCCUGAUCAGGGGUGGCGGAGCCGCGGUCCCCACAGCCGCCCCACCCGCGCCGCUGCCUCGCUGGGGCCCGGGCCCCCUUCCCGGUCCUUACUCCCCUGCUGGUGCCUCCCUCCUUGGCGCGCUUCCCACCUGCGAUCGGCGCCCUCUUCGCAGUCACGAACUCGCCAGCAGCUAGCAGCACUGACUAGUAGGAGGGCCCGCCGGAGGAGAGGACAUGCUCUGGAGUCAGAAGACAGCGAAAAGAGAAGCAGAAGCCCCGGUGGCAAGAGUCUGAAGCAGGAAGGAUGACUGUAGCCUGUGGAUUGUACUGCAGUAGGAAACUGUCCUAGCAAGGCUCCACUUUGCCCCAGCUUCAAGCUGGAAAGGAGGAGAACAUGAAACAUUGCUUGAAGACAAUGGCCGAGACAGCAGGUCCCACCCUGCACAGCCACCAGCAUCUCUCCCCUCAGCCCUGUCUCCUCUUCUGCAGUUGGGAUCUGCACAUUUAAGCCUGAAAUUGUCCUGUGAAGUGAAGUAUGAUCGGACAGCCUCUUUUCAGCUUUUAUGACAAUGGAGACAGAGGAAUUGUGGCUCUUGCCAAGGUCACAGGAUUGGAAUACAGAGCCAAGCCACCCCAGGACAUGCAAGAGCCUCAGAAGGGAAAAAAGCCCAGCAGGAAGGGAGAACAAGUAGCCUCUGUCCUGAAGUUGUAACAGCCAGGGGCCAGGAUGGAGGAGGAGGACCCCAUAAUCUGCCCAUCUGGGACUUGGCAGGGGACCUGGGAAAAUGUACCCCAACCCAUCCCUUAAGGGCCUUUGUCUUUGGCCCAUUGGCCUAGCAUCUACUUCUUCACCGUGUCUGUUCUUGUCACACCUAGUCAGGUCUGUUUGGGUCUGAGGUGCAUGGAACAUUCUGGGUAGGCCUCCAGCAAACGGAAGCUCUUCACCGUGUUUCCAGCCUGGGACCAAGGGCAGCAUACUGGCAAAGUUGCCAAAGCAAGGGACUCCAGCCUCUUAGGAGUUAAUGACUCCCUCUCCCCAGCUGUCCUCCCCUUGGUGCUCCUCUUCCUCCCUCCUCCUGCUCACAGCAGGCAGGGCCUAGACCCGGGAGCCAUGCUGCUGUGCUGUUGCCAGGGGAGCACGGAGGCAGAUCUGAGCUAUGCAGGGAAAAGGCCCAGCCUGUCAAAGUGUCUGAGAUGAACCGCCGCCGUCCCUGUGCAGCUGGGCUCAGACGUGUCUCAGCUCUUGUUCUGUGCCUGAGAAUGGCGAAACCCAGUGAGGUUCAAGGGCAAACUCGCUAUUCAUUAGUCAGGGGUUCUUGACGUCCCGUCUCUCCCAGGGAUGAGUUCCCCCCUCCUCUUUCUCCCCCUCCUAUGACACAUUCCUGGGUGCCUUUGGUGAGGACUGCACACCCUCCUCCUGCCUAGCCCCCUCUCCAAAGGCCCCUGAAUAAACUCCCCCCAAGGAGACCAGGCAGGGCAGAGACAAUGGCUGCAGGAAAUCAUUCAGGCGGGACAUGCUGGCCUGCCCUCCACCCAGUCCCCCUGUGGGCCCCACUCCCUUCUGAUUCAGGGCACCCUUGGGCCCCCAGCCUAUACAGGCCUGGACAGGAAGAAACCACUGGGAACCACCCUAAGGACAACAUGCUAGUCCAGUGCCAUUCUUCGCUGGCUCUGUGGGUGCCUUUGUGGCCUGUACCGACUGGCUGGCUAAUUUUGUGGUUUCUGUACCAUCACAUGCCUAUUUUAAGACACUCUCCAGCACUGUCGGUUAGGGAGUGUAAAUUUUGCAAUAUUUUCUGAAAUGUGGCAAUAUCAAAAUGUAAAAGGCACACAUACUUGGUCACAAACAAAUGGCACUAUUUACUCUGUGGGCAUAUUUGUAAAAGUUGCCAAAGAAUUAUAUACAAGGAUGUUCAUCAGAGCAUUUCUUUUGAAGAGUAAAGAAAUGGACAUGAACCUGUGGUCCGUUCAUACGGUGGAAUACCUAUGCAGCUGUAAAAAUCAGUGUGGUAGAUCUCCGUAUAUGAGUUGAUGUGGAAGGUUGGCCAGUUCACAUGAUAAGGUGAAUAGAAUAAGUUACAGAACAGGCUGUAGAGUAUGAUCUUAUUUGUAGAUGUUUAAAACUGAGUCAUAAGUAUGCUUAUAUACAGAUCGUUUCUGGAAGUAUGUACUGGAAGUCUACCUCUGGGGAGUGGGGAUGGGGGAGUGCACUCUUCUAUACUGUUAUAUUUUCUUUUCAUGCUCCUAAGGUACUUUUAUUGGAAGAUGUAAAGCGGUUCAAUGUAAUAGGCUUAACUUCUGUCAACUAAGUUGGCGUGGGUGCUUUAAGAGGGUGGUAGUGAUGUUGCUGGAGAAAGUAUCCCACAGUCACUGGUGGCUUCAGCCACGGGCCAUUUUGGGGCCUAAUAAUCACAUAUCAUCAUGGUUGCUAGUGUUAAUCGAAAACCUACUAAGUGCCAGGCUUACUGUCUCUGGGUCUUGCUUACGUGGAUGUCAUUUUUCCAGUUGCACCAAAUCGAAAGAGGUUAAUUGGUUUGUUGGAGUUCCUUUGUAGGUGAAGGGCAGAGCCAGGAGCUUGGCUAGGGACAGGGGAGGUGAGUGGGGGAUGGUGGAUAGGUCUUGGCUCCCAGUUUCCUUCUGGGCAGACAUUGCCCCUCUGCCCUGAGGACCUGCUUGUUUGGGGGAAGAGGCCUUUAGAGGCACCAGGGUCAUGCCAGGUGUUGGACAUGGUGAACUGGGAAGUGCUCCCAUCUGGCCACAGCGCAGAAGUAUCACCGUGCUGGGGGAUGGGGAACAGGGCUGUGAAUGGGCCUAUUUGCAUAAGCAGCAUGUGUCUGGAGAGAAAGACAUCACAGAGCAGAAGAGUGCGGGUGCCCAGGAGUGCACUUGCCACCCCUACUUCAUCCCUGAAAGAGUAAAUGGCCUGGAAGGUGUCUCUGAGAGGUAAUGCCGCACACCACCCUCCCUGGGGGCAGGGUCAGGCUACACCUGCCUUAGGUCGGGGGCUGCAGCAGCCUGAGAGCUCUCAGUAGGGCCUCAGUAGCCUGGGAGGGAGCAGGGGCAGGGGGCAGGGAAAGAGGCGUAAUGGGGCUGUCCAGAGGGGCCUGGGAAACCUGGUCCCUGAGGCCUGGGCACAGCUACAAUCACUUCAAAUUGGCUGUGGGGCCAGUGGACUGGGAAGGAAAAAAGCAAUAAGAGUGACCAAGUGCAGAAGGCUGUCAGGUCCCAGGUCACAUGCCUUAGUGCAGUGACUCCUCAUCAUUUUAUGGGGUGUGGGUGUCGUUGGUACACCCAUUUUACAGAUGAGGACACCGAGGCCCAGAAAAGUUAAGUUACAUGUCCUAAGUCACACAGCUUGUAAGUGCCAGAACUGAGAUCAAAACCAAGUCUCUUUGACUUUAAAGUCUGUACUCUGACCCCAAAGAGAUCCUGUUUGGCCACUUAUAGGAGGUCCCUAAAGCUGCAGACUCCCCUUGCCGGCACCCACAUAUAGAGACAUUAACCCUUCCCCUGCAGGGUCACCUCAAAUAGUCUUUUAGCUGGGCUUCUCCUGCAAUUCCACCUAAUGCCAUCCCCUGGGUUUUGCCCAAACCUGAACUGGGCAGUGGGGUGAGAGGAGGGGUUUACAGGGUUACAGAGCCUCAUACAGAUAGGAGCCCAUGGCUGCUGGUCAUCUGCAUUCCUGCAGGAUUGGCUGUUCCUUGGGGUCCUUGGCAGGAAAAUGAGGAUUGCUCCGAGGCCUGCUCCAGUACUUCCCAGAGGCUGGCCUGGUGUGGGGCUCUGGGAAGGCUGAGGCUGGAGAAGCGUAAGUAGGAGGGCAGAGAUGGCACUCAGGUAGCUUGAAUCACCAGGACCCUUCCAAGCCCCACAGGUUCUGAGGGAGUACUAGGGCCAGCUCUGGGAGAGGUCUCUUCCUAUGCUGUGAACCCCCUGCCUUUCUUGCAGCCUACAACGAAUAAAUUUUCUUUGCAA
rnacentral:lncRNA from 1 species